CGCAGUGUGGCUCCUGGAAGCUCAGCCGGGGGUGACCGAGUUUCAGCGGCUCUCAGAGCCCGAAUCGGAGCCGCCAGGAUCGGCAGACGUGCAGCGAGGGACCUGGGCGGGCGGCACCAUGAAGCCGAUGGUUGUUGCAGACUGAAGGGUAGAAGGGGAGCAUCUGCAGACAGAACACUCAUUCCUCGGAACCUGAAUAUGAUAGGUCUUUGAAAGUGGAAUGAGAAAUAUUUGUCUGAUCUCUCUGUGGGAAAAGAUUUCAUACUUCAGUGUGACUGGAAAAGCACCGAGACACACACACCUCCCCCGAGUGAGAGUGUUCCAGUGCACUGACUGUGGAAGUAGCUUUAACCAGUUGUACAGCUUGAAAAAGGAUCACACAAUUCACAGUGGGGAGAAACCAUACACACGUGUGCAUGGACAAGGCUUCAUUUGAAUGUCCGACCUGGAGAGACACAAGGGCUCCUGCACUGUGGAGAAACCGUGGAAAUGUGGGGACUGUGGGAAGGGAUUCAGAUCUCCAUCCCUACUGGAAACUCAUCGACGCAGUCACACUGGGGAGAGAUCGUUCAUCUGCUCCGAGUGUGGGAAGGGAUUCACUCACUCAUCUGCCCUGCUGAAACACCAGCGAAGUCACACUCUGGACCGGCCUUACACCUGUUCCCUGUGUCAGAAAGGAUUCACAACGACAUCCAAUCUAUCCGCACACCAGCGAGUUCACACUGGGGAGAGGCCGUUCAUCUGCUCCGUGUGUCAGAAAGGUUUCAAAACUACAUCCAACCUAUUGACACACCAGCGAGUUCACACUGGGGAGAGGUCGUUCAUCUGCUCCGUGUGUCAGAAAGGUUUCAAAACUACAUCCAACCUAUUGACACACCAGCGAGUUCACACUGGGGAGAGGCCAUUCUUCUGCUCCAGGUGUGGGAAGGGAUUCACUCAGUCAUCCCAGCUCACUGAACAUCAACUUGUUCACACUGAGCAGAGACCGUUUCAGUGCCCUGUGUGUAAGAAGAGCUUUAAAAGCACAAAGCAGCUGCUGGAACACCAACACACUCACAGUGGGGAGAGGCCAUUCCCCCGCUCCGUGUGUGGGAAAGCAUUUCCUCGAUUAUUCCAUCUGCAGCAACACCAAGUAGUUCACACUGAGCAGAAGCCUUUUCAAUGACCUGACUGUGAGAAGAGCUUUAAAAGCAGCAAUGAUCUGCGGAAGCACCAACGCACUCACUCUGGAGAGAGGCCGUUCACCUGCUCUGUGUGUGAGAAGACAUUUAAUUGUUCAUCCAACCUAUUGACACACCAGCGAAUUCACACUGGGGAGAGGCCAUUCAUCUGCUCUGCGUGUGGGAAAGGAUUCACUCGGCCAUCCAACCUCACUGAACAUCAACUAGUUACACUGAGCAGAGACCUUUUCAAUGUCCGGACUGAGAAGAGCUUUAAAAGCAGCAGUGAUCUGCGGAAGCACCAACUCACUCACUCUGGGCAGAGGCCAUUCACCUGCUCUGUGUGUGAGAAGACAUUUAAUUGUUCAUCCAACCUAUUGACACACCAGCGAAUUCACACUGGGGAGAGGCCAUUCAUCUGCUCUGUGUGUGGGAAAGGAUUCACUCGGCCAUCCAACUUCACUGAACAUCAACUAGUUACACUGAGCAGAGACCUUUUCAAUGUCCGGACUGAGAAGAGCUUUAAAAGCAGCAAUGAUCUGUGGAAGCACCAACUCACUCACUCUGGGCAGAGGCUGUUCCCCUGCUGUGUGUGUGGGAAGGGAUUCACUCAGUCAUCCAAUCUGCUGCAACAUCAGCGAGUUCACAUGUGACUGCAGGGGUUGGAUUCUGCUGUCAAUGCUGCUGUUAAUCACAUCCAGGACUGAACCAUGUUCAUUCUGACAGUCAGAGUUUAAAUUGUCCUGUUGUUAAUAACCCCUAUAACUGGCCUGGAGUUUAAUAUUUUGAGAUUGAUUCAAUAAUUAAUCCAGUUUUAAAUACAUUAUGUUGGGUCCUUAAUUUCUCCAAGUUAAGUGGAGACUAAUUGAUGUCCUGUUACUGACUGUUCUAUAUUUGGGUCUUUCCCCCUUUAUAACUAUAUAUAUAAUUUCAGUUAUCAUCCCUUCAAUUACUUUCAGGGACAAGUCUCAGCUUCCCGUACCUUCCAGAGUGCCUGUCCUAGCCUUGGUAUUCAGGAAAUGUAUCAGUAACAUUCCCGGGAGCACUAAACACAAAAUCCAGUCUGUUAAUCACUUUCAGCUACUGGACAUAGUGUGUGCCCUACAGCAUCUCUCUCACCUUCGAUGUGUGAAUAAAGCAUCACACCUAUAAACCUGGUUUCAAUUUAAAUUCACUCAGGGAAUGUAUUUAACAAGAACCUUUCAGUCGAUGAGACUCUGAAGCUACCGCCAUUAUAAAUCUGUAGCAAUUUAUUUCAAUCAUUUCAUGUUUAAUAUUGAAUUGGGAUUUAUUUUGUGGCAAUCUUUAGAUGUCUGGGUUAAUCAGUAUUUCUGUUGCAAAUAAUUCAGCCUUUUCCGAACACUCGGAAUAAGGUGAUGGUGGUAUCACAAAAAGAGAUCAAUGGAGCUUGAAGUCAGCACCUGACUCACACCAGGUUGAGUCUGAUUUCCUUCCACUCUGAUUAAUGUGUUCUUAAUUGCCAUCAGCUUCACGGACCCAGAUUGGAAAUGACUGGAGGCAUUACAAACAUAGCAACUUACAAAUUAGGAGCAGGAAUCGGCCAUUCAGCCCCUCCAGCCUGCUUCCCCCAUGCAAUAAGAUUAUGGCUGAUGUUAUUCUGGCCUCAACUCCCACUUUCCUCCCUGCCUCCUAUACCCUUUAACUCAUUUUUCAAUCAAGAAUCUAUCUAACUUUGCCUUAAAAUAUUCAAUGGCUUUGCCUCCAGCUUAACUCCAGGGAGAGACAGAGAAAGGCAUCUAAAAACAGGACAGGUCUGCUGUAAAAUAACCUGGCAUUUAAAAGUGCCAUGCCUUCAGAACAGAAGAACCUUCUCUGCUCCCUUUAAACCUGAUUCCAGCUACUAAGCUCACAUGUUUACGUAACCUCUGGCAAUUCCACUGUGGAAGCCAUUGCAGCUGCCAAGACAAUCCUAUAACUUAAAAAGCUUCAUUUUAGACAGCACAACAUCUCGACUUCAAAAUAUAUCAGGCCUGCACUGAGUAUGGACUAAAAUGAUCCAAUUUUAUAAGUACUGUUCUAUCUUCAUUUGUAUCUAAUCCACAUGUGUAUGUGUUAGCAAAUUUAUCUAUUCUUCAGUAAAUUCCAGAGCAAUAGAGUAAAAUAAACUAAUCAUUUUUUUUAAGGAAAAA